rnacentral:snoRNA from 1 species
CUUCGGGUUGAUAACUAGGCAAUGAUUUCGCAUGCUAUACGAUCUUUGCCCUUUAAGUGCCCGAUAUAUCAAACCUUUCCCUGCGGAGAACUUACACGUCUUCGGAUCCUUUUUCAUGAUGUCUGAUGUUUAAUUCGCCGCAACAUAA